rnacentral:tRNA from 1 species
GGGUGUGGUUCAAUGGCAGAACAGAGGUCUCCAAAACCUUUGAUGAGGGUUCGAUUCCUUCCACCC